GAGUGUAUGGAAAAGAAAACGUCACUUAAAUGAUGUGAUGCCUGAUGUGACACUCUGGUGUGAUGCUACAUUUUAUCCGGAUGUAAGCUCUUCAGAGGAAGGAUUACACCUCUGGAUCCACACUGUAUAUAAGAAAUUUUGGGGAAAACUGAGAAAAUUCAUCCUCUAACACUGGAAGACAAUAUUACUUUCAAAACAAAUUAUUAGCAUUUGGGAUAUCUGGCUUCUUUUCUCCAAAUCAUCUGUGACUUUAAGCAAGUCAUUCAGCUAAAAAUGUCUUUUAAACAUACGGCAGUGGAAGGGAACACUUUGAAAUGGUAACAACUUUAUUGCAGAGUAACAUUGACACAACCUAAAUGCACAUAAGUGUAAAAAUUGAAGAAGAAAUUAUGCUGUAAUUGGAAGAGAAAAUACUGCUGUCUUCAUUCCUUUUCAAAAGACAGAGAUCAGGAGUGAAAUCUCAGCGCUGUCAAAACCAGUGAAAACAAAUUCAGUCUUUAGAAGAAUCAGGAUUUUAUCUCAA